rnacentral:rRNA from 1 species
AUUGAACGCUGGCGGCAUGCCUUACACAUGCAAGUCGAACGGCAGCACGGGUGCUUGCACCUGGUGGCGAGUGGCGAACGGGUGAGUAAUAUAUCGGAACGUACCUUAUUGUGGGGAUAACGCAGCGAAAGCUGUGCUAAUACCGCAUAAUCCCUAAGGGGGAAAGCGGGGGACCGUAAGGCCUCGCGCAAUUAGAGCGGCCGAUACCUGAUUAGCUAGUUGGUGAGGUAAAGGCUCACCAAGGCAACGAUCAGUAGCUGGUCUGAGAGGACGAUCAGCCACACUGGGACUGAGACACGGCCCAGACUCCUACGGGAGGCAGCAGUGGGGAAUUUUGGACAAUGGGGGCAACCCUGAUCCAGCAAUGCCGCGUGAGUGAAGAAGGCCUUCGGGUUGUAAAGCUCUUUUGUCAGGGAAGAAACAGCAGCCCUAACACAGUUUGCGAAUGACGGUACCUGAAGAAUAAGCACCGGCUAACUACGUGCCAGCCGCCGCGGUAA